UACGUAGGGGGCGAGCGUUUGUCCGGAUUUAUUGGGCGUAAAGAGCUCGUAGGUGGUUUGGUAAGUCGGAUGUGAAAUCUCCAGGCUCAACCUGGAGGGGUCAUUCGAUACUGCCAUGACUAGAGUUCGGUAGGGGAGUGUGGAAUUCCUGGUGGAGCGGUGAAAUGCGCAGAUAUCAGGAGGAACACCCGUAGCGAAGGCGGCACUCUGGGCCGAUACUGACACUGAGGAGCGAAAGCGUGGGGAGCGAACAGG
rnacentral:rRNA from 1 species